ensembl:snRNA U1 U1 spliceosomal RNA
GGACUUCGUUGGCAGGGGAGAUAAUUGUGGUCAAAAAGGUGGUUUUCCCUGGGUAGGGUUUGUCCAUUGCACUCCAGGUGUGUUGACCUCUCUAUUUCUGUCACAUGAAGGAAACUGCAUAAUUUGUGGUAGUGGGGGAUUUCUUUACUGCUUUCCUUUA